rnacentral:rRNA from 1 species
AUACGUAGGGGGCGAGCGUUAUCCGGAUUCAUUGGGCGUAAAGCGCGCGUAGGCGGCCCGUUUGGUCGGGAGUUAAAUCCGGGGGCUCAACCCCCGCCCGCUCCCGAUACCGGCGGGCUUGAGGCUGGGAGGGGGAGGCGGAAUUCCCAGUGUAGCGGGGGAAUGCGCAGAUAUUUGGAAGACCACCGGUGGCGAAGGCGGCCUUCUGGGCCACGACUGACGCUAGGGCGCAAAAGCUAGGGGAGCGAACAGGAUUAGAUGCCCUGGUAGUCCUAGCCGUAAACGAUGGACACUAGGUGUGGGGGGAUGUGCCCUCCGUGCCGCAGCUAACGCAUUAAGUGUCCCGCCUGGGGAGUACGGCCGCAAGGCUAAAACUCAAAGGAAUUGACGGGG